rnacentral:rRNA from 1 species
GACGAACCGUGCGAACGUUGUUCGGAAUCACUGGGCGUAAAGCGUGCGCAGGCGGUGAUGUAAGACAGAUGUGAAAUCCCCGGGCUCAACCUGGGAACUGCAUUUGUGACUGCAUCGCUGGAGUGCGGCAGAGGGGGAUGGAAUUCCGCGUGUAGCAGUGAAAUGCGUAGAGAUGCGGAGGAACACCGAUGGCGAAGGCAGCCCCCUGGGCUGACACUGACGCUCAGGCACGAAAGCGUGGGGAGCAAACAGG